rnacentral:lncRNA from 1 species
UAAUACGGGCAUCCUGUUAUAGUUUCUAUAAUAUCUGUUCACAAAUAUAAGAGAUACAUGGCAACCAUUUUUCAUGAGCAUUUAAAGUUCAUCUAAAUUCAUCAACAAUUUGGAAAUUAUUUUGUAUUUAAAAGUGUAUUAAAUGUUCAAUUGUAUAUGUUUUAGCUUAUGCUUAUAUUAAAAACUGUUAAAAAUUGAUCAUAGUCAUAUUAAUUACCAAAUUGAAUUAAAUAUGUAAAUUAUUGUUUUACAGGUUGUCAUACCCGUUCCCAUUAGCAACGAGGAGAGACAAACUUCUUUGAAAAAACAUUAUGCAAUUACCAAAAAGCUUCAGUGGCUGUCAUUAAAAUUCUUCAACUGUCGACAAUGCACAUAAUUGAUGAAGACUUUUAAACUAGACAUUUUUGAAUGGAUAAGUGUAUUCUUUUCAGUAAAACAUCCAAAGUGUCGCCUCGCCAAAUUACGUACAUUUUCAUUUAUUUCCAAAAAAUCAAUGAAAUAGAAGGAAAUAAUGGCUAAGAAUGUUCGAAUUAAAUGAUUGCCCCAAUAAUUUCUACCUGACGUGGAAUCUGCGGUAGGUAAUCAUUUCACAAUUAUUAGUGGUAAACAAAGUUCAGUAAAUUAGUAAACACGGUCAGAGGCUGUCUCAAAACAUAAUCCAAACCACUUGUCUGGGAUAGAGAAGUAAAACAAAUGUUGGUGAUUCACAGGAAUAUUGGUACUACCUACUCUGCGCACGACUAGUAAAUCGCAACUAAGAGAAAAUGUUGUUUCUCCAACGAUGAGUUAGAAGCAAAUGAACAGACGAAUAAACGAUUUGGAGGCCAUGAUUUUAAUUCACCCAGAAAAGCCUUAGAUACCCGAAAAUGUCUAAUUCACACACACUCAUGGGAUUAUAAUACUUAUAAUGUUUUUUCAAAACUGAAAUAUAUGAUGUACCACAUACACGGAACUGCGAAGUGGAGCCAAUGCAUUGACAAAUUUUCAGAUGUUGACUUUAGAAUAAACUAACUAACUUUGAGAAUAUUA